GCACGGGAAGCCCCCUUCGGGGGGUGGAGAGUGGCGCACGGGUGAGUAACGCGUGGGAACCUAUCCCGGGGUGGGGGAUAACCACUGGAAACGGUGGCUAAUACCGCACGAUCCCUGAGGGGCAAAGCAGCGAUGCGCCCUGGGAGGGGCCCGCGUCCGAUUAGCUAGUUGGCGGGGUAAGAGCCCACCAAGGCGGUGAUCGGUAGCUGGUCUGAGAGGAUGAUCAGCCACACUGGGACUGAGACACGGCCCAGACUCCUACGGGAGGCAGCAGUAGGGAAUAUUGGACAAUGGGCGCAAGCCUGAUCCAGCCAUGCCGCGUGAGUGAUGAAGGCCUUAGGGUUGUAAAGCUCUUUCGCCCGCGACGAUGAUGACGGUAGCGGGAGAAGAAGCCCCGGCUAACUUCGUG
rnacentral:rRNA from 1 species